GAGGGUAUAGCUCAGUGGUAGAGUACAUGCCUAGCAUGCACGAGGUCCUGGGUUCAAGCCCCAGCACCUCCA
rnacentral:tRNA from 1 species